rnacentral:rRNA from 1 species
UACGUGGGGAGCAAGCGUUGUUCGGAUUUACUGGGCGUAAAGGGCGCGUAGGCGGCGUGACAAGUCACUUGUGAAAUCUCCGGGCUUAACUCGGAACGGUCAAGUGAUACUGUCGUGCUAGAGUACAGAAGGGGCAACUGGAAUUCUCGGUGUAGCGGUGAAAUGCGUAGAUAUCGAGAGGAACACCUGCGGCGAAGGCGGGUUGCUGGGCUGACACUGACGCUGAAGCGCGAAAGCCAGGGGAGCGAACGGG